AUGGGCGGCGCGGCGGGGAUCAAGCUCUUCGGCAAGGUCAUCACGCGGCAGCCGACACGCACGGGCGCAGACGGCGGCGGUGGCGGCGUGGUGGUGUCCAAGACGCAGCAGGCGGCGCCCAUGUCGUCGUCCUCGUCGUCUUCGGGGCGCGGGAGCGCCGAGCAGCUGGAGGAGGCCGCGAGGGCGCGCGCGGCGGCGGCGGAGGCGCGGCUGCCGUGCCCGCGGUGCCGGAGCGAGGACACCAAGUUCUGCUACUUCAACAACUACAACGUCAACCAGCCGCGGCACUUCUGCCGGGCCUGCCACCGCUACUGGACGGCCGGCGGCGCCAUCCGCAACGUGCCCGUCGGCUCCGGCCGCCGCAAGAACCGCCCGGUGCUGCACGGUGCCUCCACGGUCAUGAGUGUUGCCGACCACCACUUGGCGGGGCCGGCGUCUCCGGGGAUGCCGAAUGGGCUUGGCUUCCACCCAGAUCAUGGAUGGUCUCAGGCCGUCCCGCCGACGGCUUACCUCGGCCACGGAGAGAUGGAGCAGUGCUGGUGGCUCGUUCAUCAGUACCCAGCCCAAGGCCAGGUCAACGGGGACGUCCAACUAAGCCCUUCGUCUCUGCGGAUCAACCAAUACGCAUGA
rnacentral:rRNA from 1 species